AUGGAGAUCACGGAGGAGCCCGUGCACACCUUGGAAUCAGGAAGCACUCACAACAAGGAUGCUAAAGUGGUUGAGAAGGAGAAAGCUUACAACAUUCUACCCCUGAAAAUUAAUGCUCCACAUCCAGUAAUGCAAAUUCCAGAGAUUAAAGCAGCAGUAGAGCUUCUUCACCCAAUACCGGAUCCAUCUUCCGUGCCUGGAGAAAUACGAAUUCAAGAUUUGCUUGAUUGGCUCAGGCAAACAUUUGGAUUUCAGAAAGACAAUGUAGAGAAUCAAAAGGAGAAUUUGAUCUUGCUGCUUGCCAACAUUCAAAUGAGAGAAGGGCGUACUGCCCGUCACGGUGAAAGAUCCAAUCAUCUGAUACAAACUAGUACAGUGAUAUACUUGAUGAAGAAACUUUUCCAAAAUUACAUUUCCUGGUGCUGUUAUCUGGAUUUGGAGUCAAACAUCAAAAUUCCAAGCAGUGCCACCAAGCCCGCCACACAACAACCAGAACUUCUUUAUGUUGGGUUGUAUUUUCUCAUCUGGGGUGAAGCUUCAAAUGUUCGUUUUAUGCCUGAAUGCCUUUGUUAUAUAUUCCACCGUAUGGCAAGGGAUUUAUAUGGCAUAAUGUCUAGUUCUUUUGACCCACUCUUUCGGCCAGACGGGCGGGAUGAUGCAUUUCUAAAGCUAGUUAUUCAACCCAUCUAUAAUGUUAUCCAGAAGGCAUCUCUAGUCAAUAAACAUGGCAACGUGAGCUACUCAAAGUGGAGAAACUAUGAUGACCUGAAUGAAUUCUUUUGGUUGAAGAAAUGCUUUAAUCAGCUUGGAUGGCCAAUGGAUCUAGGAUCUGACUUUUUUGCGGCAGCUGAGAAAAUGAAAACUGAAACUGAGCCACAUGGUCAUGCGGUUAGCACACCGAGGAUGUCCAAAAUUAAUUUUGUGGAAGUUCGUACAUUUUUGCACCUCUUCAGAAGCUUUGAUCGACUGUGGGCUUUCUUUGUCUUAGCUUUCCAGGCCAUGGUAAUUGUUGCUUGGAGCCCUUCUGGAUCACUCCAUUCUAUUUUGGAACCAAAAGUUUUCCGGAAUGUUUUGACAAUAUUCAUAACAGCUGCAUUUCUAAACUUUCUUCAAGCCACACUUGAGUUAGUUAUUAAUCGGGAUGCAUGGAGAAGUCUGGUGUGCUCGCAGAUGAUACGAUUUAUUUUAAAAUUUGUUGUAGCUGUUGCCUGGUUGAUCAUUCUUCCAACAUCGUACUUAAGCUCUUUUCAAAAUCGUCCAAGAGGUCUUGUGAAGUUGUUUAACAUUUGGAUUGGGAAUAUCCAGAGUGAAUCUAUUUAUAGCUUCGCAGUUAUACUUUACAUGUUACCGAACAUAUUCAGUGCCUUGUUUUUCAUAUGUCCUCCAAUUCGAAGGACAUCCGAGCAUUCCAAUUCUCGUAUUGUUAGACUUCUUUUGUGGUGGACUCAGCCACGCUUAUAUGUAGCCCGAGGCAUGUAUGAGGACACAUGCUCAGUUCUUAAGUACACAUGUUUCUGGAUGCUAUUGAUUAUAUGCAAGUCUGUCUUCAGCUAUUAUGUCGAGAUUUCUCCUAUAGUUGGACUUACCAAGGCAAUUAUGUUUUUGGGGAAGGACUACUUGCGACACACUUCUGGUGCUAUUAUUUCUCUAUGGGCACCGAUUGUCAUGGUAUACAUUGUGGACACACAGAUCUGGUAUGCCAUUUUUUCCACAAUAUGUGGAGGAGUAAAUGGGUUCUUCAGUCGCUUGGGCGAGAUCCAAACCCUUAGGAUGUUAAAAUCAAGAUUUGAGGAAAUCCCAAGAGCCUUUUGCAAAAAUCUUGUGCCUUCACAUGGUAGUCAAUCAAAUAGUCGUGGGCACGAGGUGGAGACAAAUUUGCAUAUGGAUACGUUCUCUGACAUAUGGAAUUGUUUUAUUAACACCUUGCGAGAAGAAGACUUACUAAGCAAUAGGGAGAGAGAUUUAUUGUUUGUUCCAUCAUCUAUUGGUGACAAUGGUGUUUUUCAAUUGCCUAUUUUCCUUCUUGCAAAUAAGAUUCCGACUGCACUUGGCAUGGUAAAGGGUGUGAAGGAAAGGGAUGAAGAAUUGAGAAAGAGGAUAAACCAAGAUCCAUAUAUUUCUUAUGCCGUAAAGGAAUGCUAUGACACUUUGUUAAAUAUCAUGUACAGCCUUAUUGGAGACCUAAGUGAUAGGGAUGUUGUCGAUCAUAUACGUGAUAGCAUUGAAGAUAGCAUACGGUAUCAGUCCCUCGUGAAAGAAUUCCGAUUGGAUGAACUUCCUCAGCUAAGUGCUAAGUUUGAUAUGCUGCUAAGUCUGAUACUGAAACCAGUGCUUGAGGAAAAUCUACCAACAAAGCCACAAAAAACUAUGAGUGAGGUUGAGGACGCAAUAAAGCUUAUGAAGGUCAUUGAAUCAAUAAAGGAAAAAAUUGUCAACCUGUUACAAGAUAUAAUGAAAAUCAUUACUCAGGAUAUUAUGAAGAGAGGACAAGGUAUUUUGAAGGACGACGAGAGAGACAAUGAGUUGUUUGCGAAUCUAAAACUAGAUGUAUUACGUGAUGAAGCCUUUAGGGAGAAGUGUGUUAGACUUCAACUGUUGUUGACAACGAAAGAAUCUGCAACAUACAUACCGACAAACUUGGAAGCUCGGCGCAGGAUGGUUUUCUUUUCAAACUCACUAUUUAUGAAUAUGCCAAGGGCUCCACAGGUCCGCACCAUGAUGUCCUUCAGUGUCUUAACUCCAUAUUACGACGAGGAUGUAUUCUUUAUGCCAGAAGAUCUUAAUAGACAGGAUGACAAUCGUAUAUCCAUUAUAUUCUAUUUACGGAAAGUAUUCCCAGACGAAUGGACGAACUGUCUUGAGCGGAUAAAAUUUAGACCAAGGGACGAAGAGGCACUUAACAAAAGGAUUGAUGAAAUCAGUCCCUGGGCAUCAUACAGGGGACAUACACUUGCCAGGACUGUCAGAGGAACGAUGUACUAUAGGAGAGCACUUGAAAUUCAAUGCAUUCAAGAUAGAACUGAUAUUGCUAAAUUCAACCGUGUUAGUACAACAUCCUAUCAAGAGGGAGGAGCCCUUGUAGACAUGGCACUGGCCCUUGCAGAUAUUAAAUUCACCUAUGUUAUCUGUUGUCAAGUAUAUGGCAUGCAAAAAAUAUCCGGGAAUCCGAAAGAUAAUGCUUGUUACUUGAACAUCCUUCAUCUCCUGAAAAUGUACCCAUCGUUACGUGUUGCUUACAUUGAUGAGGUAGAAGCUCUGACUGGAGAUGGAGUGAUAGAGAAGACAUAUUAUUCCGUUCUUAUCAAAGGAGGUGACAAGUAUGCGGAGGAAAUUUACCGCAUCAAGCUUCCUGGAAAAAUCACAGAUAUUGGAGAAGGAAGACCAGAGAAUCAAAAUCAUGCCAUAAUUUUUACCAGGGGAGAAGCUCUCCAGACCAUUGAUAUAAACCAGGAUAAUUAUGUUGAAGAGGCUUUUAAAAUGAGAAAUGUGCUAGAGGAGUUUGGGAAAGAAAAGUAUGGACAGAACAAACCGACUAUAUUAGGUCUCCGUGAACAUAUUUUUACUGGAAGUGUUUCAUCACUUGCUACGUUUAUGUCCAAUCAAGAAACCACCUUUGCUACCAUUGGACAACGAGUUCUCGCCAACCCUCUUAAGGUUCGGUUCCAUUAUGGCCAUUCUGAUAUAUUUGAUAGGCUCUUCCAUAUUACUAUUGGUGGCAUAAGCAAAGCUUCAAAGACCAUAAAUCUAAGUGAUAUCUUUUCAGGAUUUAACUCUACAAUCAGAGGAGGAAAUGUCACACAUCACGAGUACAUGCAAAUUGGCAAGGGGCUUCAUAUGGGAAUGGAUGAUAUUACAGUCUUUGAAGCUAAGGUUGCCAUUGGCAAUGGUGAACAAACACUGAGUCGUGAAAACUAUCGGCUUGGAUCUCGAUUUGACUUCUGCAGGAUGUUGUCUUUCUACUUCACUACAGUGGGGGUUUAUUUCAGUAGCAUGGCUACUGUACUUAUGGUUUAUGUAUUCUUGUAUGGGAGGUUAUAUCUAGUUAUGUGUGGCCUGGAGAAGUCUAUUUUGCUGGAUCCACGUAUUCAGGACAACAUCAAGCCUCUUGAAAAUGACAUGGCUGCACAGGCUAUUUUCCAGCUCGGUUUGAUGCUUGUUCUCCCAAUGCUCAUGGAGACUUUCUUAGAGCAGGGAUUCUGCACAGCAUUACGAGAAUUAUUUACCUUUCAGCUUUCCUUGGCUUCUAUGUUCUUCGCAUUCCAGCUUGGCACCAAAACCUACUACUACAUGAGAACAAUACUCCAUGGUGGCACUAAAUGUAGACCGACAUGCCAUGGAUAUUUUAUGUACCAUGCAAAGUUUGGUGACAAUUAUCGCACGUACUCCCGUAGCCACUUUGUUAAAGGGAUUGAACUGUUGAUACUCCUGGUAGUGUAUCUUGCUUUCGGAAGUUCCUACCACUUCUCCAUCAUGCACCUAUUUGUCAGAUUGUCCAUAUGGUUCCUUGUCACAUCUUGGCUCUUUGUGCCUUUUAUCUUCAAUCCAUUGUGUUUUGAUUGGAAGAGAAUGGUUGAUGACUGGACCGAUUGGUGGCUAUGGAUUGGGAAUCAACGGGGUAUCGGCAUGUCUGCAGAUCAAAGCUGGGAGGCUUGGUGGAUAGGUGAGCAGGAGCACCUCAGGAAGACUUGUGUUCCUGCUCUUCUCUUGGAAAUCAUCAUUGCACUCCGAUUCUUGAUCUACCAGUACGCUAUUGUGUACCAUCUAAACACAGUGCGGCGCAGCAAAAGCAUUCUUCUGGUAUAUGCACUGUCAUGGCUGGUUGUGCUCACGGUUUUAGCAGUUCUAAAGAUGGUUUCAAUAGGAAGAAAGAAAUUUGGUAUCGUUGUAUUCCUUUGCUUUUCCUGUGUGAUGGCGAGCAUAAGUGUUGUAUGUAAGCUCACAAUUUCUGAUGUCCUUGCUGGUUUUCUUGGUUCGGUGCCUACUGGUUGGUUUAUUCUGCUGAUUGGGCAAGCAUGCUCUCCAAUUUUUAAGAAGACUAUGGUGUGGGACUCCAUCGUGGAGCUCGGGAGGGUAUAUGACAGCUUCAUCGGCUUAAUCAUCUUCCUACCAAUUGGAUUCUUGUCAUUGUUUCCCCGUGUCUCAGCAAUCCAUACACGAUUUCUCUUCAACAAAACUUGGUCACGGGGCAUCCAAAUCUCAAUGAUCCUUGCAGGUCAGAAGGACAUAUUGGAGUUUGAUUAA
rnacentral:rRNA from 1 species